UGGGGAAUAUUGCACAAUGGGCGCAAGCCUGAUGCAGCAACGCCGCGUGAACGAUGAAGGUCUUCGGAUCGUAAAGUUCUGUUGCAGGGGAAGAUAAUGACGGUACCCUGUGAGGAAGCCCCGGCUAACUACGUGCCAGCAGCCGCGGUAAUACGUAGGGGGCUAGCGUUAUCCGGAUUUACUGGGCGUAAAGGGUUCGCAGGCGGAAUAACAAGUCAGAUGUGAAAGGCAUGGGCUCAACCCAUGUAAGCAUUUGAAACUGUAAUUCUUGAGAAGUGGAGAGGUAAGUGGAAUUCCUAGUGUAGCGGUGAAAUGCGUAGAUAUUAGGAGGAACACCGGUGGCGAAAGCGGCUUUUUGGCCUGCAACUGACACUGAGGCGCGAAAGCGUGGGGAGCAAACAGG
rnacentral:rRNA from 1 species